rnacentral:lncRNA from 1 species
UGCAUUUCAUUCAUUUUUUCACUUUCACUGUCCUGACUGUCAGCUUCUUGGUCAAUCAGCUGUGUACUUUGUGCCAUAAAAAUUCCUCUUAUGCAGAAACUCGUUCCCUGGUUGCAGUUGCCUCCCUUGUAGGGGACAUCCUCCUGUAAUCAUACUACUGCCCAAUGCCAUGGACUUGACUUUCUUCCCCUAAUCUGGCAGUUUUUCUGUGUCAGAGAUGUCUCCUGUUAGAUGUCUGGAAACUCCUGCUCUUUCUGGAAUACCAUAAAGCAUAUGGCCAAUAUCACUAACUAAAACACUCCCUGAAGUACAUCAUUGAAACAAACAAACAAGCAAGCAAACAAACAAACAAAAAAGUAUAUUGAAGCAGCAAUAGUGAACCUAUAAGGGUGAAGAAAGUCAAUACAUGUCAACACUGAGGCAGGGCCUGAGACACAGACACUUUUGUAAAAUGUAGCUUCAUCUUGGACCCAGAAGAUAUUGCUCACAUGUCAUAUAAUCCUCUACAGAGUCAAGAUGAACUGCAAUAAAGGCUUUGAAGUGGUACAUUUUUUGACACAUCACCUGAAAUAUUUGUAUUGGUCACACAGCCACCAUGAUCCUGUCUUAAAAGAGGAAGCAAUGUUCACAUCCGAUGAAGUCAGGAAGUAAAUCCUGAGGUCCUGCAGUGUCCCUCUGCUUGUGGUACAAACUGUUUCUUCAGUGGUGAGCCCAAAG